rnacentral:rRNA from 1 species
CCUGCUCUCUGUUUUUAAUAAAUAGCCGCUUUUACAGUGCUAAGGUAGCAUAAUCAUUAGUCUUUCAAUUGAAGAAUAGAAUGAAUGGGGAAACGAGUAUAAAAUUAUGUUGGAAUUUUAUUAUAAAAUUUAUAUAAAAGUAAAAAAGCUUUUAAUAAAAUAAAAGACGACAAGACCCUUUAGAACUUAACUAAAAGUUUAACUGGGGUGGUAGCCUAAAAAACCUAGAUCAUGAAAAGCAUUCAUCCUAAUAUGAUAAAAAGUUACCUAAGGGAUAACAGCAUAAUUUAGUUAAAAAGCUCUUAUUUAAAACUAAGAUUAUGACCUCGAUGUUGAAUUAUAAUACCUCUUAAUAGAAAAUUAUUAAUUAAGUAAGUCUGUUCGACUUUUAAAAAUAUACAU